UCAGAUCCGACUUCCGGCGCUGUGCGUAUCAGUCAAAGGGGCUCGGGAAGCUGAUGGUGUGCGAGAGAAUAGAUUCCAAGAAUAGAAUGAUGUAUCUUGGAACACUAGGAUCAGAGGAAGGGUAAAUUCCUUACUCCUCCAAAGAGCUUUCCUGUGAAGCUGGGGAAGUUAAUGCUCUACGGCGGAGCUCCCCUUCACAGGGAGCAGGGGGCAUUACCAGUGGGUGCGGGCAUCUACGACCAGUGCCCGGCCUCUCACCUUAUCAAGGAGCCUGGCGGUGGUCCGGGGUGGAGGACACUCGACAUCUUUUGCCACACAGAUAUCAUCAAGGAUUCUGCGAGUUUCUGUAAUACAAACAUACAAGUUGGGACAGAAGACAUCACACCAUCACAAUACCACCCCAAUAUAAGAAGAAUUGCAUGGGGAACUGUACUCCUGACAUAAUCUAAUUCAGAGCUGAACAGGAAGGAAGGCCCUACAACUGGAGGAGUGCAUCACUUUACCUUCAGU